rnacentral:rRNA from 1 species
AAUAAUUUAUUUGAUGGUCACUUACUACAUGGAUAACUGUAGUAAUUCUAGAGCUAAUACAUGCGUAAAGUCCCGACUCUUGCGGGGAGGGAUGUAUUUAUUAGAUAAAAAACCAAUGCGGGUUCUGCCCGGUUUUGUGGUGAAUCAUAGUAACUUUUCGAAUCGCAUGGCUUCACGCCGGCGAUAGUUCAUUCAAAUUUCUGCCCUAUCAGCUUUCGAUGGUAGUGUAGUGGACUACCGUGGCGUUAACGGGUAACGGAGAAUUAGGGUUCGAUUCCGGAGAGGGAGCCUGAGAAACGGCUACCACA